rnacentral:rRNA from 1 species
UCGAGAAUCUUCGGCAAUGAGCGCAAGCUUGACCGAGCGACGCCGCGUGCGGGAUGAAGGCCUUCGGGUUGUAAACCGCUGUCGUAGGGGAGGAAGGCUCCGUGAAGAACGGGGUUUGACCUAUCCUAGGAGGAAGGACGGGCUAAGUUCGUGCCAGCAGCCGCGGUAAUACGAACCGUCCAAACGUUAUUCGGAAUUACUGGGCUUAAAGGGUAUGUAGGCGGCGCUGUUAGUCGGGUGUGAAAGCCCUCGGCUCAACCGAGGAAUUGCGCCCGAUACUGCAGUGCUUGAGGGAGACAGAGGUAAGCGGAACUGAUGGUGGAGCGGUGAAAUGCGUUGAUAUCAUCAGGAACACCGGUGGCGAAAGCGGCUUACUGGGUCUCUUCUGACGCUGAGAUACGAAAGACGUAGGGGAGGCGAAGGGGAUUAGAUACCCCGUAGUCCUAGCUGUAACGUUGAG